CCCCAGUCAAACACCCUUUGACCCCCCAGUCAAACGCGUGAUGCUUCGUAACAUGCCUAAUAUGUGCAGUUCUAAAUUUUUCUUAAAAUAAACCCUGAGCUAACCAACUUUGGAUGGCAACGGACAAACACGUGUUAGGCGUUAGGUCUACAUUUGGAUCACACUUUGUUUCUACGAAUUCUUUAAUUUGUGCUCAGAUGUAGCCUGCCCCGUUGAUUUCCAGCGUGGGCGCGAACCUACAGCAACAUGUGGUUAUUCAUAAAUCUGGUCCUUCACCAUCACGUGUGUAUUGUAUUUUUGCCCAACUAACCAAUAACAAUGUUUUAGGAAAGUUACCUAGCUAUCCGUGACUCGAACAAUAUAUAGGGAAAUUGCUAUUGGUGGAUUUGGCAAAAAUACAAUACACACGUGACGGUGAAGGACCAGAUUUAUGAAUAAACGUUGACUAACAGAGAUGAGUUACCGUAAAG